AUUGAACGCUGGCGGAAUGCUUUACACAUGCAAGCCGAGCGGCAGCGCGGCCUUCGGGCUGGCGGCGAGCGGCGAACGGGUGAGUAAUGCAUCGGAACAUGCCCAGUCGUGGGGAAUAACACUUCGAAAGAAGUGCUAAUACCGCAUACGUCCUGAGGGGGAAAGCGGGGGAUCGCAAGACCUCGCGCGAUUGGAGUGGCCGAUGUCAGAUUAGCUAGUUGGUGGGGUAAAGGCCUACCAAGGCGACGAUCUGUAGCUGGUCUGAGAGGAUGAUCAGCCACACUGGGACUGAGACACGGCCCAGACUCCUACGGGAGGCAGCAGUGGGGAAUUUUGGACAAUGGGGGCAACCCUGAUCCAGCCAUUCCGCGUGAGUGAAGAAGGCCUUCGGGUUGUAAAGCUCUUUCGGCAGGAACGAAACGGUGGGCUCUAACAUAGUCCGCUAAUGACGGUACCUGAAGAAGAAGCACCGGCUAACUACGUG
rnacentral:rRNA from 1 species